UUUCGUUGCUGUGAAAUCGGAAAAGGUAAAUACUUGUUCCAUGUUUACCACUUCCAUUUUUGUAGAGGUGGAACAUACCUGCAAGCAGCAAGAUUGAUGCAAAAGCGCACGUAGGCACGCUGACGCUGGGUUACCGGUAAUUAGAUGAUUCAUGGAUGUAUCGGCACAUGGCGUUUAAAGCUAGACGAUGCUUUUAGAGUUACUUAAAGGGUGAAAUUUUAGAAAAUUUCAGAAAAGAAUCAAUAAUGAUCUAGAUCUGUCGCCAUUAUUUCGCUAAAUUCCUGUAUUUCUUAAUGACAGCUGCUGUCUAAUGUGGCGUUGCAAAAUCCCAGCCGGCAACAGAGUUACCAUGGAUGUACUUCUUUUGGUUGCCAUGGGCAACCAUCCUCCGUCUGUCCAGCAGCCAUUGUGUCUAGACAUGUUCAUAAUUGUCACAGCCGUACACCACAUCGGACCUAGUUUUCCACCUGUUGUGAAUUAUCCUGCUCCAAAAGAAAUCCUCCGAAAAAUGACCUCCUCAUCGUAUCGUAGCUCGGAUCGCCGUACCAGCCGCCGGUAUGACGAUGAUGGCGACCGGCACCAUCGGCACCGGUCGAGAAGUGUGGACCGGUGCCACCGGAGCCGGCGCAGCCGUUCCAAUUCGCGGGAUCGCUACCGGCGCAAUCGUUCCGCUUCCCGGUCGCCGCGUGGACGGUCGCGCCAUCGGAAGAGCUCCACUGCGCCGAACGCCUCGCGCAGCCGGAUCCGGGUCGAUUCGCCGGAGCCGAGCCGUUGCUUGGGCGUGUUCGGGCUGAGCGUGUACACGACGGAGCCGUACCUGAACGAUAUCUUCUGCCACUUUGGCACGGUGGAAAAGUCGAUAGUGAUCUACGACGCGAAGACGCGGCUGUCGCGCGGGUUCGGUUUUGUGUACUUCAAGUCGCAGGCCGAGGCAUCGAUCGCGCGUGCGAACUGCAACGGGCUGCAGAUCCAUGGCCGGCGCAUUCGCGUCGACUACUCCAUCACGGAUCAGCCCCAUCCGCCCACGCCGGGCGUGUACAUGGGCCGAAGGCAGUACAGCCACUCUCCGUCCCCGCGGAACCGAUCACACCACGAGGAGCAUCGACGCCGCCGCCGAUCUCGCUCGUAUUCCCGUUCGUCCUAUGAGAGCCAUUGAGGCCCGACGGUAGCAGGAGCAUGUGCCGGACAAUAAUGUAAGUCGAAAAAGUAGAAGUCUUGAACCCAGAAAUGUCGAACUGUUCAGUAGUGUACACAGGGAAAAAGUCAAAGAAAUAAUGAAAAUGUUGUUGAUCUUUGCCGUGCUUGUGCAAAUUAAUUUAAAUGCUAAGGGAAAAGUCAAGAGAAAAGACACAUGUUUGUCUUUCCUUACAAGCAUGUGAAAAAGACUGCGUUUCAUUUGCAUCAAUGUUUUCCGGAAGUAGGGGCAUCGUGGGCAGUGUGGAUGCACCGAAAAGGUUUCAUUAUUGAACUUCAUUCAACAUCUCUCUGUACUCAUCGAUCGAUCUCUGUACUAUCUCGUUGAUAAUAUCAUUCUUAAUGUUAUAAAUAUAAUUUAUUGCAAACAAUAGAAAAAAAUCCUGUAAAUAUACUCCAAGGAUUAGCUUCAAAGGGGAGAAAA